rnacentral:rRNA from 1 species
UACGUAGGGUGCAAGCGUUGUCCGGAAUUAUUGGGCGUAAAGAGCUCGUAGGCGGUUUGUCGCGUCUGCUGUGAAAUCUGGGGGCUCAACCCCCAGCCUGCAGUGGGUACGGGCAGACUAGAGUGCGGUAGGGGAGAUUGGAAUUCCUGGUGUAGCGGUGGAAUGCGCAGAUAUCAGGAGGAACACCGAUGGCGAAGGCAGAUCUCUGGCCGUAACUGACGCUGAGGAGCGAAAGCAUGGGGAGCGAACAGG